rnacentral:rRNA from 1 species
GGAGCGCAGCUACCUGCAGUCGAGCGGGGGAAGUAGCUUGCUACUGGACCUAGCGGCGGACGGGUGAGUAAUGCUUAGGAAUCUGCCUAUUAGUGGGGGACAACAUUCCGAAAGGAAUGCUAAUACCGCAUACGUCCUACGGGAGAAAGCAGGGGACCUUCGGGCCUUGCGCUAAUAGAUGAGCCUAAGUCGGAUUAGCUAGUUGGUGGGGUAAAGGCCUACCAAGGCGACGAUCUGUAGCGGGUCUGAGAGGAUGAUCCGCCACACUGGGACUGAGACACGGCCCAGACUCCUACGGGAGGCAGCAGUGGGGAAUAUUGGACAAUGGGGGGAACCCUGAUCCAGCCAUGCCGCGUGUGUGAAGAAGGCCUUAUGGUUGUAAAGCACUUUAAGCGAGGAGGAGGCUACUAGUAUUAAUACUACUGGAUAGUGGACGUUACUCGCAGAAUAAGCACCGGCUAACUCUGUGCCAGCAGCCGCGGUAAUACAGAGGGUGCGAGCGUUAAUCGGAUUUACUGGGCGUAAAGCGUGCGUAGGCGGCCAUUUAAGUCAAAUGUGAAAUCCCCGAGCUUAACUUGGGAAUUGCAUUCGAUACUGGAUGGCUAGAGUAUGGGAGAGGAUGGUAGAAUUCCAGGUGUAGCGGUGAAAUGCGUAGAGAUCUGGAGGAAUACCGAUGGCGAAGGCAGCCAUCUGGCCUAAUACUGACGCUGAGGUACGAAAGCAUGGGGAGCAAACAGGAUUAGAUACCCUGGUAGUCCAUGCCGUAAACGAUGUCUACUAGCCGUUGGGGCCUUUGAGGCUUUAGUGGCGCAGCUAACGCGAUAAGUAGACCGCCUGGGGAGUACGGUCGCAAGACUAAAACUCAAAUGAAUUGACGGGGGCCCGCACAAGCGGUGGAGCAUGUGGUUUAAUCGAUGCAACGCGAAGAACCUUACCUGGCUUGACAA